rnacentral:misc_RNA from 1 species
UGUGGGAGCGAGCCUGCUCGCGAUAGCGGUGUAUCAGCCAACAUUCGUGGCGACUGAAACACUGCUAUCGCGAGCAGGCUCGCUCCCACA